rfam:Pseudomonas fluorescens HK44 Contig15, whole genome shotgun sequence.
AGCAUUAUUACCGCCAUUCCUUAUUUGGCGGGCUAGCUGACGACUGCACCCAACCCGCCCUAGAGGCGGGUUUU